ACAACAUUUGGACUCUCGGUCUUCCAAACAAUAUCACCCGCUCGGUGGAAGGAAGAUUCCCUUUGUCCU
rnacentral:pre_miRNA from 1 species